AUAAAACUUAAGAUUCUAUGUCUCAUUGGCAAUAGAACAACAUUUCAAAUACUCAGUAGCCAUGUGUGAUCAGUGGCUACAGUAUUGGACAGUGCAGAUGCAACUUCCAUCAGCUGGAAAUUCUAUCAGCCUAGCUCUCAGGGCAGGUAGUCCUUCAACUGACUUGAGCAUGUCACUCCACAAAUGGCCUCUACCUCAUGUGGUUAUGGUGAGAAUCAAGCGUAUGUAUGUAUAUACAUGCAGACAACAUGUGCACACACUCAUAACAUAGUGCACCCUUUCAUGAGAAGCCUGACACACUGGGAGCUCAAACUUGAGUGCCACUCAGCCCUGGGCAUCACCAAGAUGGCUCUAGUCUGGGCGCCUUUUGUCUCAUCCCAUGCCUUUGCUCAGAAUGUGCCCCUCCUUUUUCUGUCACUUUGACACCAUCUCUGAUUUGGUCCUGUCUGACAUCACUGCUAUAUGCUUUGCUGCUCUAAAUUUCCUCUGCCCUCAUGCCAGCAGGAGUCAUGCCAGAGAUCAUAUCUGAGAAAGCAAGACAAUUUUGUGUGUGUGUGUGUGUGUGUCUGUGCCCAUAGAGGAGUGCUGGUUGUGUUGAUAUAGUUAGUUGUGUAUUGGUUGUGUUUAUAUAGUUGUAUAUAUUGACACCCUUGAGUGUUAGGGCUCUUUGUGAGGGUGUUCACCUUUUAAAUCAUGACUUUCAAUGGGAUUGAAUUUUAGUCUUUGUGAAGACAUAAGGUUGUCGAUAGGCAUCUGUCUCUGGGAGCGUCCAAGCAGAAAAGACUAAGACUCUCGUGUAGACAGAUCACUGGCUGCCAUCAAAGCGUGUCUGUAUGGCACCACAGGGCUGGAAGACUCUUAAAGGCAGGAAUUCAAGGAAAUUGAUGAUGAAUUUUGGAAUUGCCCUCAGAAGCAGAACAGGCACGGAAAACUUGGGUGAGUGGGCGAGGCAGCCUAAUCACCACAGCAGAGUUCCAUAUAUUCCUGGAUAAUGGUGGAGGGGUUUGUGUCCACUGCAGUGGGGAACCAUGAAGGACACAUCAAAGAUAUGGUUGGCCUGUGGUGCCCUUUGGAGGAAUGAAUAAAAAUGAAUAGAAAUCCUAUUGUGUGUCUGUUUUUCUGGAGUUUGAGGGAACAAAAAGAUCCUCAAGAUUUUGACUGUGCUGGAAACCUAGACUCUGGGUCUGGGGAUUGGAGGGAUGGUGGGGAAUCUGCCAGGAAAGACUGGGCUGUGAUCAAGAGACUUUAUCAGUAUCUGAGUUUUGCCACCCUGGAAGGAGUGCAGGCAGACUUCCUGUUUAAACAUUGGGAGCUUGUGAUGGUAAAGCACCUUACCUCUGGAGCCAGCUGGACCCAUUAAUGUCCCCAGUUGGUCCAGCCUUUCUGUAGCCAUUCAGUUGAAUUGUUGCUCUCCUUCUAACUCUAGACUUGACUAUGUGAUUUGCUUUGACCACUAGAACAACAGCAAAUGUGAUGCAAGCAGCGGCUUGAAAAGUGCGUUGCACACUGGACUUCCUCUCUUGCUGCCCUUGGGGCCCCUCCCACCACUGCCACAUCCAAACCCCAGGCUGGCCCAGCACAGUGGCUUGUACCCAGAAUCCCAGCACUUAGGAAGGCAAAGGUAGAAGGAUUACAUGAGUCCAGGAGAUCGAGGCCAGCCUGGGCAACAUGGCAAGACCCCAUCUCUACAAAAAAUCAACAACAGCUUUUCUGGUCCCGGUUGCAGAAGCAGGAUGACAAAGGGAAUGUCAUCGUUUGGGAAGCGUCGCAAUAAAAUGCACGCGUUGUGCCGCCGCUGUGGCUCUAAGGCCAACCACCUUCAGAAGUCGACCUGUGGCAAAUGUGGCUACCCCGCCGAGCGCAAGAGGAAGUAUAACUGGAGUGCCAAGGCUAAAAGACAAAAUACCACCGGGACUGGUCGAAUGAGGCACCUAAAAAUUGUAUAUCACAGGUUCAGGCAUGGAUUCCGUGAAGGAGCAACACCUAAACCCAAGAGGGCAGCUGUUGCAGCAUCCAGUUCAUCUUAAGAAUUUCACAGAUUGGCCGGGCGCGGUGGCUCACACCUGUAAUCCUAGCACUUUGGGAGGCCGAGAUGGGUGG